rnacentral:misc_RNA from 1 species
AUGCAACAGUCCCCAUUUGAAAAUAUUUUUAAUAUUAUUGGUGGUAUAACAGAAGGAAACGAAAAGCCUAUGAAACAUGGGUUCUAUAAUGCUUUCGCUCUAUUUAUUUUAGCAGUAUGUUGUGUCGCAGUGUAUGUUCUAUUUCUUAUACUUGAGCCUUUUUUCAAGCCUUUAUUUUGGGCGCUCCUUGUCGGUUCCAUACUUCACCCUUUCAAAUAUAAAUUAUCACAAAAAUUGAAAGCAUGGUUUGAAGAUCUCGACAAAUCGAACACCUCUGUGAUAUUUGGUUUGAUGAUCAUCCCAGUAAAUGUUGUGAAUUUUGCUUCCGAUACUGUAGGUCGUCAAUUUAUAAACCAUUAUAAGACUGUGAUUGGUUUGCUAUCAGUAAUUUUUGUGUUACCAUGGCUAUACAACUCAGUGCCACGGAGCUUCUCAUGCAUUUUUUGGCAACUGAGUAGCUUUGUCAGCUUCUCCACAACUAUGCUCAUCAGUGUAUGCAGCUCCUAUAUUACUUUAACAAUAGUCUUAGCAUACUUUAUAAGUGUGUGGACACUUUGGACUCCAGAAAGAGCUGGGUUAUUCAAAACAAGCUCCCAAUUGUUAUGGCUAGUCAUAACCAGCUUUCUGGCCAGCCUAUGUGGGUCUUUUAAAGUCUACAUGUUUGUGUUACUGCAAAUGUUCUGCGUUAUUGGCUUUUCCCUUGAAGUUCUAGAUGUACAUAGAAAGUUACUGUUGAAUGAUCCUGAUGCAUCAAUGGCGCAAGCUUUACACCAAGUAAUUACAAAUGGCCAUUAUGAAGCUAGUCCAAAACAAAUAGAGGAAAAACCACAAGAACAAGUCCAACCCAGUGUUAGUGACCAAGAAUCUACACCAGAAAAAGAUAGCCCAUCUCCUACUACUGCGGAAUCGACCAUAAAAAAAGAUAGUUGGUCUGGAAGUGAAACAAUACAGAGUUCACCACGAUUUGCAAAGAAACUAUAUAAAACUCGAACAUUGUCUGAUUUACCACUUUCGAAUACUAGAAUGAAGUCACCAUAUGACAAUCGUUUUAUUGCAUCCUUCAAACAGAGGUCUCUGGAUGAUAAUUACAUGAGGAACAAUUUUGAUAAUGAUGAAGAAACAGCUUUGUAUUUUAAACUGCUUUUCUUUGGUUGUUUAUGCAUGCUGGUGUGGAAGCAUAUAUGGUUAUUACCUGUGACACUAUUUUUUAUUGCUAUUUAUGUUAUCAAAAGGUUGCUAGAGUAUUUUGGUGUGUGGUUAUUCUUUGAAAACCACUACAAUCACAUUGUGGGAAAAAUUAUGAAUUGGUGGAAUCUCAGAGAAACUGCGUUGAUACCAGCCCAUAUACGAGGCAUAGGGAAGAUGUUAUCAAUCUGCAAUAACAGUAUUCGCGAGAUGGCGUAUGGUUCCGUGGAUACGGUGUCAACUUGCUUCGUCAUAGUGGGCCUUAUCCUAUUUCUUACUGUGGCCAUUAUAUUUAUAUGUAUACAGAUAUAUUCAGAAGCGAUAGUGGUGGUGCAACUAAGUGGAAGUCUGUUGAACAGCACGUUUGUACAAAAUAGUGAACUCCAUGCAUAUCUCCCUGAAGGAUGGGAAGAAAAACUGGACUCCCUUAUUGACAAUGCUUACACGUAUGGCCGAGAAGGAAUCUCUACAGCUAUCAGAAGGUUAUUGAAAGAAGGGGAACCGGACAAAGUAGCUCGCGUCGAACAACAAAUUUUGGAGAUAUGGGACAGAGUAUAUCAGAGCUGGGUGUCUGGUCAUUUCACCUCUCCCAUGGGUCCACAGGUAGACGGCACAGCAAUUCAGGACUCAUGGGACAACUUUGUAAAUGAUGUAUCUAAGACACCUGGUAUCUUCGACUACACUGGAAUAGUGACGUGGGUGCAAGAAAACCUUGGCACAUUGAGCGCUAUAGCCACCGGCAUCUGGUCACCACUAGCCAGCAACAUGUCUCUUCUAGCGGGCUCAGUGGGUGCCUUCACUUCCCUUCUGUUCUCUGGCGGAGGAGCUAUUAUUAAUAUGUUCAUUAACUUAGUUGUAUUCUUUACUACGCUGUUCUACCUGCUGGCGUCCAGCAAUGCACUAUAUAAACCUGUCGAGGUGAUCACCCAAGUGCAGCCCAACUUCGGUCCGAGACUUGGCAUAGCACUCUCAGUGGCAAUCAAUCAGGUAUUUAGGGCUUCCUUCAAAAUGGCUCUGUUUUACGGACUGUGGACGUGGCUAGUGCAUAACCUGUUUGGAGCCAAGGUCGUUUAUUUGCCUUCUGUACUAGCGGCAGUGUUAGGAGCGGCGCCGUUCCUCGGCCCCUACUUAGCUGGCAUACCGGCAGCUCUGGAUGUGUGGCUGCAGGGCAGGCCAAUGGCUGCCCUUCUUCUGCCCAUAGCACAAGCGGCUCCUAUAGCAUUCCUGGAUGCGGCUGUUUAUGCCGAAAUUAAAGACGGUGGCCACCCAUACGUGACGGGGCUUGCCAUUGCCGGCGGUAUUUUCUACCUCGGGCCCGAGGGCGCUAUACUCGGCCCACUACUCCUCUGCUGUCUAAUGGUGGUCCUCAAUCUCUCCUCCACUUUCCUCAGAGACACUCCUUCCGAGGAACGAGCGGCUCUACACUCACGGGCCAGGCUCGGUGUUUACCUCUGAUGGGCUUGCAUGGGCGAUUAAUGCUAAUAUUAUUUUCAUAAUGUCAGAUGUUAUAUGCAAUGUUCUACAGCGUAAGGCUUGAUCAAAGUUUGUGUAAAUCAGAAUAAAAUGUUAUAAUUUUAACAAAGUUACCAGUUUCAAUAUGAUACGUAUUUACUAGUAUUAAUAGUCGCAUGAAUACUAUGUUGUAUGAAUCUUGUACUCGUAUAUGCAUAUAAGGUUUAUUGCCCCAUAUGAACGCACACGUAGUGAUUUUAUAGUAAAUUAAAUCUUAAUAUAAUGACACAUUAGGUCAAUAAUACGAUUAAGGUUUGCACAGUAAAAUUAAUAAUUAAGUCUAACGUCAACAUUGUUGCUCAUGGAGUAAAUAAACAUGUCACAAAAUUAUGGCCAACUGCUAAUAUACAAUGAAUUUUAUGUGAAGUUUUUAUAGUCGGUCUUAUGAUUAUUAAAUAUAUAUGAGUAAGUAUUAAGUAUAUAUAUAUUUAUAAGAAGGCAUUCAGUUCAGAAUUGACGGCGAUAUCGUGUGACAUGAUGAUAUACACACGAAGAAAAAUUACCAUAAAUUGAUAACCUGUAUCUUUUUUAGUCAAUUUAAAAAUUAGUAAAUAAAAAGUUACAUAAUACUGUUCAGAUAUAGUUAAAAAAACUAUGUUUAAUUAAUACCUUACUUAGUCAUCACUAGUUAAAAACAUAGAUCAUAUACAGAAAGAUGAACGGCCAUCAUACAAAUACUUCGCCAAAAACAUUUGUAUGACUCCAUACAUCCAUUAUUAGCGCAUUGAAUUUUGGAUAAAUUUCAACGGAAAUUGGCAUAGCUUAUGACAAUUGAGUUAUGCACAAUAUAUUAAUCGAAAUCGCAGAUGGUAAAUUUUUUACGAGUACCUAUUGUAGUAGAAAUAAUUGGAAGUAAUCAUGCAAUAUUAACGCUAUAUUUAAUAACAUAUUCCAACGAAGCCAUAUUUUAUGUAUAAUGUUAUUGUUAUAGCAUGAAAUGUAAAUAAUUUAUAUAAUAAUAUAUACGAAUCACCAAGAGUUAUCUGUGUUUAUAGUGGGUCCAUUCUGAGAUAAGAAUAAAAAAAAAUAUAUAACCAAAUCGUUAUCGUAAGGAUCAAUAUGAGCUAAAUUUCUAAUAGAUUUCAGUUACAGUUAAUUAUAAAUUUAGUUUAUAAUGGUCCAUAAAACAAUAAUUUUGCAAAACUAUCAAGUUAAAAUAUUGGGUUAAGAGAAUUUUAAAGAAAUGCCGACCCAGAAUCGACCCCACUGCUCGUUUGAACUAGUUGCAUGUAAUCGUGAAACUUACUCACGUGACGUCUAUAGUAUCGUAAUAUUAAUACUUAUUAUAUGUAAUAACAUCAUAGUUUUACAGAUAAAAUGCCUUAUAAAUUCUUAUAUAGAAGAAAUUAAAAGCCUAAGUAAAAGCCUACAAAACAUAAUAAUUGUUAGUUAAGUAUUUGCCGUCUGAAGAAUCUGGGAGUAACACGGAAUCUGCGGAAUGCUAGGUGAGAGAUAUGAUUAGAAAGUUGUAGAACUAAGUUUACUAUUCCGUACCCAAUGUCUAAACAAUUCUUCAGACUCGCAUUCUCCGUGUAGGUACAUAUUUAUCACAUUGUCAAAUGAUCCGUUAUAUAUAGUUCUUGUAUUGUAUUUUUAUUAAAUUGUAUCUCCAAAGAGUUUCGUUUUCUGAGUUUUCUGUGCUACAGAAAACUCAGUUUGAAAAAAAUAUCUAGAUUAAUAAUUUUGAUUCCAUCAUCUCUAAUCUUAGUCAUCGUUGAUGAAGCUUGGAGUCAUGGUGCAAUACGUCUUCUUGCUCUCUCUUUCUUAUUGAACUACAUUUUAUUGCUAUCUAGCUCAGUAAGUAAUAUCCAAGCUGCAACACAAUUUGAAAAUUUUAAACCAAAGAGUAAUACUAUUAUUUAUACUACUGAAUUAUAUAUUUGAGAAAUAAGAAAAUAAUUAUAACAUUUGUGAUUAUUUUAAAUGGUGCUUAUUAGAAUACGAUGUGUUACUAAUUAAACCCCUUGUUAUAAUUUCAAAAUUUAUUUUGAAAUUGUGUAAUAUUUUCAAAAAUCUUUUACAAUGUUAAAAUAGUGGUGAUCAACGUUCAUAAUAUACAGUUAUGUUUGAAUUAUUAUACAUUAUUAUUAUUUUUUAUUGCUAUAAAAUUGAGAUAAGUUCAAGAUUCUUGAAGUCAGAGUGACGUUUUCAAUAUAUUUGUUCUGCUAUACAUUUUGAAACUAGCAAUUUUGUAGCAUUUUUCAUGAAUUAUACAAAUAUGUAGAUAUAAGAUUGAAUGUUGUCGUCGGAAAUGAAUGUCAUUCCGUUUAUUUAUUGCUUUAAAGUUUUAUAUGUAUAUUAUAUGUAAUAAAUUUUAAUUCAGACUCAGUGGGGCUACUCUUAAAUUCUUAAUAAAAUUCCAAUAAAUUUAUAUUAAUUUUAAACGUUUCACACACUCGAAUUGCAAUACUAGCGACAUAAUGUUUCUAUAUUGUUCUGAUAGAUACAUAUUAGUGGAACUUAUAUUGUAAACUAUUGUAAACUGAUCCCAGAUAUAACUUAAUUCCUAACCGUUGUUUCAUAAGUACAGCAUAAAAUUGUCCUUGGCAAUGGAUUGGAUUGAUAUUGGAUUCUAGAGUAGACCUGCUGAUCUAUAAACUAUAUUUUUAGUCUUCGUGUGGACGUUUCAGUUCAGAUAUUAAAUGUUUGAUCACAAUUUUGCUACAUUAAUGAUCUUAAAAAAAAACAAGAAUCUGGAAAAUGCUAUUUUUAAUAAUAUUUGUAAUGAUUUAUAAUGUUUUAUGAUAAUUUUGUAUAUUUAUAUUUGCUUUUUUUACUAAAAAUAAACCUUAUUGUUCAUAAAAAGUCCAAUGCUCUUAUAAACUUUUAGCUAUUACACUGUUUUGUCUCUUUCUUCAGUGCUAAAUACUCAAUGUGAAAGAAAGUGAUAAAACAGUGUAAUAGUUAAAACGUGUUUGUAGAAGGUUUUAGUUUUUAUGAAUAAAAGGGCUAAAAAUUACGCGGACGACAUACAUAUAUUCACUUUGCUAUUUAAAAAAAGUACUUAAUUACAAUGUACACAAGUACCUGUAAUGGCAACACUAAAUUUAACGUCAAGUGCUAGAUGCUAAAGAUGUUCACUUUCAUGAAUAAAAUCGAAAAAGGAAUGUAAGAUAUCUUUUUCGUUACACCUUGCAAUAUAUCAAAAAUUAAAAUAGUGUUGAAAUUAUAGCUACUGCUGAAUUUUAUAUACUAAUGUACUCGAAAUAUAUAAGCAACGCCAUAUUCGAUAUUUAAAAAAAAUAUGCUACUGAACCAGCCCUUACCAGUUCAUGGAAAAUCGUCCAAAGAUUAUUUUAAAAGCACUGCUGCAUGAUAUUAUAUUGCAAAUAUAUUCGUAUUUAAUUACUUUGAAAUAAA